rnacentral:rRNA from 1 species
CAAUAGCGUAUAUUUAAGUUGUUGCAGUUAAAAAGCUCGUAGUUGGAUUUCGGGUUGGCUUCAGCGGUCUCGCUUUGCGUUUGUACUGCCGCAGCCUUCCUUCUUGCUGGGGACGGUCCUCCGGGCUUCAUUGCUUGGGGUCUGGAAUCAGCGACGUUACUUUGAGUAAAUUAGAGUGUUCAAAGCAAGCCUACGCUCUGAAUAUAAUAGCAUGGGAUAGCACGACAGGACUCUGGCCUAUCGUGUUGGUCUGUAGGACCAGAGUAAUGAUUAAGAGGGACAGUCGGGGGCAUUCGUAUUCCGUUGUCAGAGGUGAAAUUCUUGGAUUUACGGAAGACGAACAUCUGCGAAAGCAUUUGCCAAGGAUGUUUUCAUUGA